UGGGGAAUAUUGGACAAUGGGGGAAACCCUGAUCCAGCAAUGCCGCGUGUGCGAUGAAGGCCUGCGGGUUGUAAAGCACUUUCGUUGGGGAAGAAAUUAUCAAAUAUAAUACAUUUGAGGGCUGACAUUACCCAAAGAAGAAGCACCGGCAAACUCUGUGCCAGCAGCCGCGGUAAUACAGAGGGUGCAAGCGUUAAUCGGAGUUACUGGGCGUAAAGGGCGCGUAGGCUGGUAUUUAAGUCGAUUGUGAAAUCCCUGGGCUUAACCUAGGAAUUGCAGUCGAUACUGAAUGUCUUGAGUAUGGUAGAGGAAAGUAGAAUUCUCGGUGUAGUGGUUAAAUACGUAGAUAUCGAGAAGAACACCGGUGGCGAAGGCGACUUUCUGGACCAAUACUGACGCUGAGGCGCGAAAGCGUGGGGAGCAAACA
rnacentral:rRNA from 1 species